UUUAUUCUUUAACAUGUCUGAUUUUUUUUUUAAUUAUUUAUUACUUUCAGAUAUUUGCUGUUUCAGAAGAUCCGUAAAAGAAGAUUACGUCAUGCAAGACAUCACAAAGAUAGAAGACCAUCAAUACCAGGACAUCGAUGCAGUUAAAAAAAGAUGAAUAUCUCAGAAGGUUGAAGAAUUUUCCGAAGAGCACAGAAGACCACAAAGCAUGAUUUAUUUACAACGAAAUGCAACUCGGGGACAAAAACAAAUAAAAUAAUUAUAUAAUGUACAUAUAGAGCUUUUUUUGACCGAAAAAACGCUAAUUAAAAAUUUUAAUUUAAAUUUGAAACUUUUCAUUUAUUGACGCAAUCUUGUCCUUAUUUGUUUAUUUUUUUUCAAAAAUCAGGGAUAUUUCUCUGUGUAGUAAAGAAAAUAUUUAUCUUAGUGCUGGGAACUUGACUGACAUUAAUAAACAUGAUUUCAAAACACCAUGUUCACAGAUUUAUAAACUUAUCCAUGAGAAGUAUUCAACGAAAAAAUUUAUUGGAAUUCUUUAGAUAAAACUUAGAACGCGUUCGAUUAAAAUUCAUGGUGCCAUAAAAGUAAGAUGAGCUCACUUUUUAUCUCAGUCUCACUUUUCUACUAUUAAUUCAUUUGGUUAAAGUGAGACUAAGAUCAAAAGAUAGCUUGUCCAAGUUUUACUGGCCUAGGAGCCAUGUCUCUCCCGAACUGUACUUAAGACCAUGUUUAACAUCAGAAGAAGGAAAUGUUUUUGUCAAAUUUUACAACUUUUCAACUCAUCUGGGCAAUUUCUCGAGCAUGCUGCA